UGGGGGAUAUUGCACAAUGGGCGAAAGCCUGCUGCAGCGACGCCGCGUGGGGGAUGAAGGCCUUCGGGUUGUAAACUUCUUUUGCUCUGAACAAGGCAUGCCUUUGGGGUGUGUUGAGUGUAGGGGUUGAUUAGCGCCGGCUAACUACGUGCCAGCAGCCGCGGUAAUACGUAGGGCGCGAGCGUUGUCCGGAAUUAUUGGGCGUAAAGGGCUUGUAGGUGGCUGGUUGCGUCUGUCGUGAAAGCUCAUGGCUUAACUGUGGGUUUGCGGUGGGUACGGGCUGGCUUAAGUGCAGUAGGGGAGGCUGGAAUGCCGGGUGUAGCGGGGGAAUGCGCAGAUAUCAGGAGGAAUACCGGUGGCGAAGGCGGGUCUCUGGGCUGUUACUGACGCUGAGGAGCGAAAGCGUGGGGAGCGAACAGG
rnacentral:rRNA from 1 species